rnacentral:rRNA from 1 species
GACGAACGCUGGCGGCGUGCCUAAUACAUGCAAGUCGAACGAGAGCACCCGGUGCUUGCGCUGGUCAAUCUAGUGGCGCACGGGUGAGUAACACGUGGGUAACCUGCCCAUCAGAGGGGGAUAACAUCCGGAAACGGAUGCUAAAACCGCAUAGGUCUUCGAACCGCAUGGUUUGAAGAGGAAAAGAGGCGCAAGCUUCUGCUGAUGGAUGGACCCGCGGUGCAUUAGCUAGUUGGUGAGGUAACGGCUCACCAAGGCCGUGAUGCAUAGCCGACCUGAGAGGGUGAUCGGCCACAUUGGGACUGAGACACGGCCCAAACUCCUACGGGAGGCAGCAGUAGGGAAUCUUCCGCAAUGGACGCAAGUCUGACGGAGCAACGCCGCGUGAGUGAAGAAGGUUUUCGGACCGUAAAACUCUGUUGUUAGAGAAGAACAAGUGCUAGAGUAACUGUUAGCGCCUUGACGGUAUCUAACCAGAAAGCCACGGCUAACUACGUG